GCACAAGUAGCUCAGCAGGUUAGAGGUUUGCAUUUGGCUCAAGAGGUCCCUGGUUCGACCCCCAGCUAUUGCA